rnacentral:rRNA from 1 species
UACGAAGGUCCCAAGCGUUAUCCGGAUUUAUUGGGUUUAAAGGGUGCGUAGGCGGAUUAUUAAGUCAGUGGUGAAAGCCCCAGGCCUAACCUGGGAAUUGCCAUUGAUACUGAUGAUCUUGAGUACAUUUGAGGAGGGCGGAAUGUGUCAUGUAGCGGUGAAAUGCUUAGAUAUGACACAGAACACCGAUUGCGUAGGCAGCUCUCUAAACUGUAACUGACGCUGAGGCACGAAAGCGUGGGGGAGCAAACAGG